AUGGCGGCAUCGAAGAGGCCAACAGAAAGGAGGGCGUCGAGGUGCACCCCUGUGACGGCGCGGGCCACGCUUGUAUUCGAGAUCGUCGGGUACAGCCUGCAUGAGGGCAUGGGCAUUGGCAAAUUCAUCCGGUCCACCACCGUCUCUGUUGGCGGGUAUGAAUGGUGCAUCCGCUACUACCCAGACGGAGAGAGCAACGAAAGCCAGGGCCACGUCUCAGUCUACCUGCAGCUCCUGAGCAAGGGUGCAAAGGUAAGGGUGCUCUACGACUUGAGGUUGUCACCGACAGUGUUCAAUUCUCUCGAUGCCAGGGGGACCGAUGAUUAUUAUAUUUGGGGUGUUAUAAGUUUUAAGAAGAGUGAGCUGGAGGAGUCGGCUUAUCUGCAGGAUGACCGUCUUGUAAUUGAGUGCGAUCUAACUAUCAUCAAUGAACCACUUGUUGCGGACACCGGGAUAACAGUUAAGGUCCAGAUGCCACCCUCAGACUUGGCAAAAAAUUUCAGAAAAUUGCUAGAGGCAGCCGAGGAAGCAGAUGUGACAUUCGAGGUUGAAGGUGAGAUUUUUCCUGCACAUGGGAUUGUGCUUGCAACGCGGUCCCCAGUCUUCAAGGCAGAGCUGUAUGGACCGAUGAGAGGCAAGUGUGGACAGAACAUCACCGUCAAAGACAUGCAGCCUACUGUUUUCAAGGCAUUGCUGCACUUUAUCUACACGGAUGCAUUGCCUUCCAUCGACAAAAUUGAUGAUGAAGAGAAAAAAAUGGUCAGGCACUUACUAGUGGCUGCUGAUCGAUAUGCGAUGGAAAGGAUGAAGAUGAUAUGUGAAGACAUUCUUUGCGAAACUCUUGAUGUUGAGACUGUGGCGACAACAUCAGCUCUAGCUGAUCAGCAUAACUGCAGCAGGCUAAAAGAUGCUUGUGCUCAAUUUAUCAUGUCUUCCAAUAGAUUGGAUGAUGUGUUGGCAAGCCAGGGUUAUGUGCACCUGAAGAAAUCAUGCCCUGCUGUCUCAGUAAAUAUCUUGGAGAGAGUUAUGAAGCUUCUCAAAUUUUAUUGUGUCCAUCCUGGGUUAGAAACUUAG
rnacentral:rRNA from 1 species